rnacentral:rRNA from 1 species
AAAUGACUCUCGGCAACGGAUAUCUCGGCUCUUGCAUCGAUGAAGAACGUAGCGAAAUGCGAUACUUGGUGUGAAUUGCAGAAUCCCGUGAACCAUCGAGUCUUUGAACGCAAGUUGCGCCUGAAGCCAUUAGGUUGAGGGCACGCCUGCCUGGGUGUCACA